GGGAUUGUAGCUCAGUAGUAGAGUGCUUGCCUCCCACGCAUGAGCCACUGGGUUCCAUCCUCAGCACCA
rnacentral:tRNA from 1 species